GCCUACGACCAUCUCACCCUGAAUGCGCCCGAUCUCGUCUGAUCUUGGAAGCUAAGCCAGGGUCGAGCCUGGUUAGUACUUGGAU
rnacentral:rRNA from 1 species